AUAUAAGACUACGGCGUAGACUGUAUAUAAAGAUGGGCAACGUGUCUCCACUUUCUCUCACUGUACAAAAGUGAAGCCAAAAUAUCCCUGAUACGGGAGCUGCCAUCUUGAGAUUUUGACAUAAUUUGGAGCCAGAGUCUGCGCAGUAGUGAUCGGGAGGGGGGGGGGCUGGAGCU